AGAUCAACUAGCAGUUGAUUCCUUGGUGUGACCGGCAGAACGUAAUACAUAUUACAAGUAAAACACGGGUCAACCUUACAUAGCUGUGACUAAAAACAUCGUGAUACAGAGAAAUUAGGAUGCCUUCAUAUUCACGCAAAAAGACUUGUAAAAGUUGGGAAAAAGACUUAGACCGAUAAUUCCAGGAAAAGCAAGCUCUUAGUCUCAAAGCCAACAAUCACCUCACAGUGCUCGCAUAGUCGUAUGCAUCACAUUGAAUUCCAAGGAAAAUGAAACUGCUUGACUGGAAAGUAUGCCUAUAAAUAUUUACUACAUUACCCACGCUUAGUCUUUGUCAAACUCUGUUGCCCCUCCCAUCUGUAUGCUGUGUCUUGUGAUGCAACUGAGUAAUACUUCAGACCCUUCCAAAGAUCUGCAAAGAACUAAACAGCAAAAGAACUAAAUGUUGGGAAUGUUAAAUUUUGGAAACAUGCUAAAGCAAAUGAGAUUAAUAUCAUGCAUUAGCCCUGGAAAAACAGACACGAUGCCUAGAGGACUCCAUUCUAGUAUUCCCUUUAACAUGACCAAGGAAACACAUGAAAACCUAUUCACAUGGACAAUAUCAUGAUGCAAAAUAUAUGUUAAGAUGAUUAGCAGAUAGUGGAAAGGAAUUAGCUAAUUACCAAAUAAUCAUAGUUAUUGACUAGACAGUCUGAAGUUACCAUUCAUAUCAUAUGACUACCAAUAAGUAAAUCAAGACUUUCUAACAAAGUCAAUGAAAGAAAGAUUCUGUCAUGUUUCCGUUAGUUCCAAAAUAAAAAUCAUAAAAAAACUUGCAAAGAAAGUCAUGACCACCUUAUAGAUCACGAGAAAGACUAAAGCGUCUUACUUUUCUGUUACCUGUGGAACAUUACUGGUGAUAAUUCAAGUUAUCCUUCUGCUUUACAUCUGAAGAAGGAAUCUCUUCACACAAUGGCCUCUUUCCUAGAACAUUAUCUCUGGUUCUCGCUUCUUCUACUGAUGCCAAUUUCCGCCACCGCUCAAAAUGUAUCUAGAGGUGAAUCCCUCAUGGCAGGGGAUGAUAUGUCAUCUUGGAAAUCAACAUCUGGUGAAUUUGCAUUUGGUUUCCAGCACAUAGAAAAUGGGAACUACUUGCUCACCAUCUAUUUCAACAAAAUACCUGAAAGAACCAUCAUCUGGUCAGCCAAUGGAAAAACUCCAGUGCAAAGAGGGUCCAAAGUUCAGCUCACUGUAGAUGGUCGAUUAGUGCUCACUGACCUAACAGGCAAAGAGGUGUGGAAUCCUGAUACAGCUGGUGCUGCAGUUGCCUAUGCAUCCAUGCUUGAUAGUGGUAACUUUGUAUUGGCAGGCCCAGACUCUUUUCCUUUGUGGGAGAGCUUUGAUCACCCAACUGACACAUUA
rnacentral:lncRNA from 1 species